AGUUCAGCUCUGUGAGCAUUUUGUUUUUCUCGAAAACGCAGGAGAGCUGCGCUUCAUUAUAUUAAGAAGAAAGAAAAGGGCAAGAGCCCAAGCAACACUACAACACACACACACACACACACACACGAACCCACACUCCCCCUAAUUGAGUCUAGGAUCACAUUCGCGCCCGAGACAAAACAGCACAAGGCGACCACUACAAAAUAAAAGACUCUUCUAGCCACCAGGGAGGAGGGCAGUCAGGAAUGAAAGCCCUCGAGCCCCAGCCGUAGACCACAGGCAACGUUCCUCACAAGCCGCAAUCAAAGCACGACCCAAGUUUGGAGCUGCUCCGUCAAAAACGCACCCAUUGCGGUGGUU
rnacentral:lncRNA from 1 species